rnacentral:pre_miRNA from 1 species
CUUGGGGGGGGGGGGGGCUCUCAGCCCGGAUUGUGAGAGGGCACAGGCCAGGCUGAGGGACCCCACCGGUGCACG